rnacentral:rRNA from 1 species
AGAAUNUUAGUCAAUGCUCCAGAUGUGAACUAGCUAUCUGAAAUCACACAAACACAAAUGGUGCUUAUUGUGAUCACGUAUGUCAAAAAAUGAUAUCACCUUACUAAUAGUGUUGUCUAAAUAACUGGUGCCAGAAGACUCGGUAACACCAGAAACGCGAACGUUAGUCGUCUUAAACAGGCGUAAAGGGUAAGUAGGCUGCUUUAAACGUCUAAUUUUAAAAAAGCUAAUUAAUAAUUAAACCUAAACUUUUUCAGACCUUAAUUUAAAAUUUAAGGCUAACUAAAAAUGAAAAAAGGAAAAAAUUAGCAAGCUUUGCUAGUUCUAAUUAUUAUAAUUAUUAAAUUAAAAAAAUAGAUACACUUAAAGCUAGAAUCAUAAUUGAGAUAAACCAAAUAAUACUUAUGUGUAAGGGCGAUAUCUGAAAAUACUAAGUAGAAUACUAACGGUGAAAACUUUUUAUCUAGUAAUGAUUGACGCUGAGGUACGAAAGUGAGAACAGGGAAUAGGAUUAGAUACCCAGUUACCUCUCACCGUCAACGAUGAAUGGUAGUUGUUAGUUUAAUUAAAUUAGUGACGAUGUUAACGCGAUACCAUUCCGCCUUGAGAGUACUGUUGCAAAACUGAAACCAAAAAAUUAGUCUGUCUCGGAGCAAACGGAGUGAAGCAU